GGGUUGUGAGGUUAAGCGACUAAGCGUACACGGUGGAUGCCCUGGCAGUCAGAGGCGAUGAAGGACGUGCUAAUCUGCGAAAAGCGUCGGUAAGGUGAUAUGAACCGUUAUAACCGGCGAUGUCCGAAUGGGGAAACCCAGUGUGAUCCGUCACACUAUCGUUAACUGAAUACAUAGGUUAACGAGGCGAACCGGGGGAACUGAAACAUCUAAGUACCCCGAGGAAAAGAAAUCAACCGAGAUUCCCCCAGUAGCGGCGA
rnacentral:rRNA from 1 species